GUGAAGUAGGUACACCCACGCACACACACACACAUUCCCAAACAGCUAGGGCCGUUGGUGCCAUAGGUCCUUGAAAACUCUCUCCAGCUUCUGGCCAAGCAGAACUUUGGCACUCAUCUGGAACUUUCAAUGAUGGACUUUUAAAACAGGCAAAACUAAUCUAAAGUGGAAAAAAUCAGAAGAGUUUGCCUUGGACUACGGGGCCAAAAAGAACUGUUGGGAACCCUUUCACCACCACAUGAAGAAGCCUGGAAGAGCCAGCCAGAGGAUGAGAGGCCACACUGGAAAAGAGACCAGCCAGCCCAGCCAAUGCCCCAGACAUAGACAUAAGAUCAUCCAAGACCAUUGUGCCCAGCUGAGCAGUCCAGAGGAGAAGAGCCACCUGGACAACACCUAGAAUUUUGAAAAUUAAAAAAAUGUGUUACCACUACA